GUAAUUCAGGUAAGCAUUUUGGUGAGAGGUGUUCAGAUAGGACCAAGGUCAGUAGAAGAUGGCGAAGACAGAGGUUCAGGAGGGAACGCAUUUGCCAUUGAAGAAGUGAAGGGCUUGUCUCCGCUGUCCAAACGAACGAGUCCUUUCUUCAAUAUUAUAAGUCGACAGGUGACUCCUUCCUGUUGUUCACUAGGUGAUGCGCCCCCCUUCAGAGACUUUAGAUUCGUGCCAAGAUUGACUCGCUUCUUGAAGUUUCCCAGUUAGUUUAUUAGCAGGGUUGACAUAGUUAUUUGGUAUGAAACAUAAUAUUUGGCUUGGGUUGUAAUACUCUGCAUAAAAUGUUUAUCAACUGAACUGUUGAGCGCAAAUACCAUUUUAAUUAAGAAACAACUGAACAGAAAAAAGAAAGAAAUGGACUUCGUCAACCCUGCAUGUCGCUGGAUAUGUAUUAUACAUUUGCAGUACAGUGGCAGUACACUACUAUAUCCGCCCAUGACGUUUCAUGGUAGUUUAUUAAAAGUUAUUAUAAAAAUGCAUCUAUGAAGAUCUACUAUAAGGAAAAAACACACCCUUAGUUCCCUCUUGAAAUUAGAAUUUUGACAAGCUGAAUCAUAGUUCUAAUCCGUACCAAAUGGCACCGUUCGCCCUCUA